rnacentral:rRNA from 1 species
UACGGAAGGCAGCAGUGGGGAAUAUUGCACAAUGGGCGCAAGCCUGAUGCAGCCAUGCCGCGUGUAUGAAGAAGGCCUUCGGGUUGUAAAGUACUUUCAGCGGGGAGGAAGGCGGUGAAGUUAAUAGCUUCACCGAUUGACGUUACCCGCAGAAGAAGCACCGGCUAACUCCGUGCCAGCAGCCGCGGUAAUACGGAGGGUGCAAGCGUUAAUCGGAAUUACUGGGCGUAAAGCGCACGCAGGCGGUCUGUCAAGUCGGAUGUGAAAUCCCCGGGCUUAGCCUGGGAACUGCAUUCGAAACUGGCAGGCUAGAGUCUUGUAGAGGGGGUAGAAUUCCAGGUGUAGCGGUGAAAUGCGUAGAGAUCUGGAGGAAUACCGGUGGCGAAGGCGGGCCCCUGGACAAAGCUGACGCUCAGGUGCGAAAGCGUGGGGAGCGAAACAGGAUUAGAUAACC